rnacentral:misc_RNA from 1 species
CGCACAUUGCGCCCUCUGGUAUUCCGGGGGGCAUGCCCGUUCGAGCGUCAUUACAACCCUCAAGCUCUGCUUGGUGUUGGGCAGCACCGCCCGGUGCGCCCCAAAAUCAGUGGCGGCGCCGUCUGGCUUCAAGCGUAGUAAUACUUCUCGCUUCGGGGACCAGGCGUGCUCCUGCCAGCAACCCACACUUUUCAAAGGUUGACCUCGGAUCGGGUAGGGAUACCCGCUGAACUUAA